ACUUCUCCUGUUGAAUGCGAGAUUGGUCUUACUGAAUGAAUAAGCAAACAAGCAAUUUUGAGAGUUCCAUAUCCGACACUAAUAUGUUCCCGAUGGAUAUAAUUUUGCAACUAUUUUCAGCUUGGAGAAACCAGUGGCCCGACGUAAAACUAAAUAUCAGCUAAAUUAUAAGUCGCUGGAAAGUCGUUAAUGGAUCUGGAUUCUGUCGCCCACAAGAUAAGAUGUCUCCCAAUCUUUGCUACUCACUCUGAAUGACUACACAAGAUAAGCCCAUCUUAAAGAUGUGUCCCAAUCUUUGCUACUCACAUUUGAUGAUUAUACAAAAUCGGCCCAACUCAAAGCUCAAGUACGGAUUGUCUACAUGUUCAAGUGGCCUGCCUCACCACGUAGAAACGUAAUCGCAAAAGGUUUGUUUCAUUUGUAAAGCACUUGUUAUAGCUGAUAUUUAUUUGACGACUUAUCUUUCAUUGACUGUAUAUAAAUAAAAAAUUAAAUGAAUAAAAACUCGAAAUAAA